rnacentral:rRNA from 1 species
GUGCCAGCAGCCGCGGUAAUACGUAGGGCGCAAGCGUUGUCCGGAAUUAUUGGGCGUAAAGAGCUUGUAGGUGGCUUGUCGCGUCUGCCGUGAAAACCCGAGGCUCAACCUCGGGCGUGCGGUGGGUACGGGCAGGCUAGAGUGUGGUAGGGGAGACUGGAACUCCUGGUGUAGCGGUGAAAUGCGCAGAUAUCAGGAAGAACACCGAUGGCGAAGGCAGGUCUCUGGGCCAUUACUGACACUGAGAAGCGAAAGCAUGGGGAGCGAACAGGAUUAGAUACCCUGGUAGUCC